rnacentral:rRNA from 1 species
UGGGCAACCUGCCCCUCUCUCUGGGAUAAACCCCCGGGGAAACCGGAGCUAAUACCAGAUACUCCGGCUGGAUCGUAUGGUCCGGCCGGGAAAGGUCCGCCGGAGGGGGAUGGGCCCGCGGCCUAUCAGCUUGUUGGUGGGGUGAUGGCCUACCAAGGCGACGACGGGUAGCCGGCCUGAGAGGGCGUCCGGCCACACUGGGACUGAGACACGGCCCAGACCUCCUACGGGAGGCA